rnacentral:rRNA from 1 species
GAUGAACGCUGGCGGCGUGCCUAAUACAUGCAAGUCGAGCGAACAGAUGAGGAGCUUGCUCCUCUGACGUUAGCGGCGGACGGGUGAGUAACACGUGGAUAACCUACCUAUAAGACUGGGAUAACUUCGGGAAACCGGAGCUAAUACCGGAUAAUAUAUUGAACCGCAUGGUUCAAUAGUGAAAGACGGUUUUGCUGUCACUUAUAGAUGGAUCCGCGCCGCAUUAGCUAGUUGGUAAGGUAACGGCUUACCAAGGCAACGAUGCGUAGCCGACCUGAGAGGGGGAUCGGCCACACUGGAACUGAGACGCGGUCCAGACCCCUACGGGAGGCAGCAGUGGGGAAUCUUCCGCAAUGGGCGAAAGCCUGGCGGAGCAACGCCGCGUGAGUGAGGAAGGUCUUCGGAUCGUAAAACUCUGUUAUUAGGGAAGAAAAAAUGUGUAAGUAAAUAUGCACGUUUUGACGGUACCAAAUCAGAAAGCCACGGCUAACUACGU